rnacentral:rRNA from 1 species
UACGGAGGGAGCUAGCGUUGUUCGGAAUUACUGGGCGUAAAGAGUACGUAGGCGGUUAUUCAAGUCAGAGGUGAAAGCCCGGGGCUCAACCCCGGAACUGCCUUUGAAACUAGAUAACUAGAGUCUUGGAGAGGUUAGUGGAAUUCCGAGUGUAGAGGUGAAGUUCGUAGAUAUUCGGAAGAACACCAGUGGCGAAGGCGACUAACUGGACAAGUACUGACGCUGAGGUACGAAAGCGUGGGGAGCAAAC